UACGUAGGGUGCGAGCGUUGUCCGGAAUUAUUGGGCGUAAAGAGCUCGUAGGCGGUCUGUCGCGUCGAAUGUGAAAACCCGGGGCUCAACUCCGGGCUUGCAUUCGAUACGGGCAGGCUAGAGUUCGGUAGGGGAGUCUGGAAUUCCUGGUGUAGCGGUGAAAUGCGCAGAUAUCAGGAGGAACACCGGUGGCGAAGGCGGAUCUCUGGGCCUGUUCUGACGCUGAGGCGCGAAAGCUAGGGGAGCGAACAGG
rnacentral:rRNA from 1 species